CUCUGCUCCUGCUAUGCUCCAACCUCACUCUUCCCUGAUUUCUCCUCCUGGCAUUCCAGGCUCCUGGACCCCAGUAUCUUCUUCAGACUGAGGAUUUGACUUCUGCUUGGUCUCCUAGGCAGCCCUAGGAACUAACACAGGCACCGACUGCACCAAGCAGGAUUCUGGAAGCUGAGGUUACAGUGGAGAAGGAAACAGGGGAGCAGCUGCUCUGUCCUAUAAGGUGGCGUAAGUAUGGAGAACAGGCCCAGACUCUUCCUAACAGCCCACGGGAGCCAGCAGGAGCCAGCAGGAGGCCAGUGGGGAUGGAGAGAGGAUGGCACAAAGGGACGGCAAGGUCCGGCAGGGGUUGGGAACACUGAGGCAGCCGCAGACUCUACAAGGUCUCCAGGUCCAGAGCGUGGACCCUCUGAAGUCAGUCCUUCCUCCACAGUUUCUGUCUGAAAUCCUGCUCCACGUUGUGUUCGGCUUUCACGUGGCACACGCCUCUCCUUGCUGGACACGCCAGCCAGGCUUUGUCAUUUCAUCCUAUCUUUUUUGUCAGCUCAUGACAGUAACAGCAGUGUCACUCCAAAACAACCUUGGCAUUCACACCAGCACCUAUCUGGGCACCAAAAUCUCGAGGUGACACUUGGCUUUGAGGCCAGCCUCCCACAUCUUUCAGAGCAUGCUCCAUGAGUGACCUGAAUCUGCCUGCUGACAUCCUCAGGUGGAAUAUGCCACCAGGGUCCCUUCUCCAGCCCCACCACACUGCGGCCCACUCCUUCCAGGCACCCCGGAACACUGUCCGACAGCGCCGACCCACAGGAUGUUCCAGGACCAUGGAAGUGCUUUAUGUCUGUGCUGUCUAAUACAGGAGUUAUUGAACAUUAGAAAUGUUGUUAGUGGGCUGGGGAACUGAACUUUUAAUUGCAUUUAGUUGUAGUUAAUUUAAGUGUAAAUCAUCACUUGUGGCUCGUGGCUACCUUACUGGGUAGCUCUGGCUAGCUCUACGGGAUCUAGGUCAGCCUUCUUAAAAAGAUGGAAGAGGUUGGGUGUGAUGGCUCACACCUGUAAUCCCAGCACUUUGGGAGGCCGA
rnacentral:lncRNA from 1 species